AUGCCGGGCAGUCGUCAGACCCUGGAAGCAGAUGGUGGCUGGGCUCAGAGGUGCCCCAGGCCUGGGCACCUGAGGUCCUGCUGGACCCUGCAUUCACCAGCCUCCUCUCUCACAGCCUCCACCACACCCCCGAAAGUCUACCCUCUGGCAUCCAGCUGUGGGGACACGUCCAGCUCCACCGUGACCCUGGGCUGCCUGGUCUCCAGCUAUAUGCCUGAGCCGGUGACCGUGACCUGGAACUCGGGUGCCCUGACCAGUGGCGUGCGCACCUUCCCGGCCGUCCUGCAGUCCUCCGGGCUCUACUCUCUCAGCAGUAUGGUGACCGUGCCGGCCAGCACCUCAGGAGCCCAGACCUUCAUCUGCAACGUAGCCCACCCGGCCAGCAGCACCAAGGUGGACAAGCCUGUCACUCCCAAAGGUGAACAGAAACCCUGCCAGUGUCCCAAAUGCCCAGCCACAGAACCUCUGGGAGGACUGUCUGUCUUCAUCUUCCCACCGAAACCCAAGGACACCCUUACAAUCUCUGGAACGCCCGAGGUCACGUGUGUGGUGGUGGACGUGGGCCAGGAUGACCCCGAGGUGCAGUUCUCCUGGUUCGUGGACAACGUGCAGGUGCACACGGCCAGGACAACGCCGAGAGAGGAGCAGUUCAACAGCACCUACCGCGUGGUCAGCGCCCUGUCCAUCCAGCACCAAGACUGGCUGCGGGGAAAGGAGUUCAAGUGCAAGGUCCACAAUGAAGGCCUCCCGGCCCCCAUCGUGAGGACCAUCUCCAGGACCAAAGGGCAGGCCCGGGAGCCGCAGGUGUACGUCCUGGCCCCACCCCGGGAAGAGCUCAGCAAAAGCACGCUCAGCGUCACCUGCCUCAUCACCGGCUUCUACCCAGAAGAGGUAGACGUGGAGUGGCAGAGAGAUGGGCAGCCUGAGUCGGAGGACAAGUACCACACAACCCCGCCCCAGCUGGACGCCGACGGCUCCUACUUCCUGUACAGCAGGCUCAGGGUGAACAAGAGCAGCUGGCAGGAAGGAGAAACCUACACGUGUGCGGUGAUGCAUGAGGCUCUACGGAAUCACUACAAAGAGAAGUCCAUCUCUAAGUCUCCGGGUAAAUGAGCCACACGCCGCUGAUCUAGUGAACGUUCCCUCAUCCACCCGCCCCUCCCCGCCCUCCCCGGGCUCCAGGUCCAGCCAGGACGCCCUAGCCCCUC